rnacentral:misc_RNA from 1 species
AACGCACAUUGCGCCCGCCAGUAUUCUGGCGGGCAUGCCUGUUCGAGCGUCAUUUCAACCAUCAAGCCCCCGGCUUGCGUUGGGGCCCUGCGGCUGCCGCAGGCCCUUAAAAACAGUGGCGGGCUCGCUGUCACACCGAGCGUAGUAAUACAUCUCGCUUUGGACGUGCGGCGGGUUCUUGCCGUGAAACACCCCCCCUCUCAAGGUUGACCUCGGAUCAGGUAGGAAUACCCGCUGAACUUAA